UGGUGGGUAGUUUGACUGGGGCGGUCUCCUCCUAAAGAGUAACGGAGGAGCACGAAGGUUGGCUAAUCCUGGUCGGACAUCAGGAGGUUAGUGCAAUGGCAUAAGCCAGCUUGACUGCGAGCGUGACGGCGCGAGCAGGUGCGAAAGCAGGUCAUAGUGAUCCGGUGGUUCUGAAUGGAAGGGCCAUCGCUCAACGGAUAAAAGGUACUCCGGGGAUAACAGGCUGAUACCGCCCAAGAGUUCAUAUCGACGGCGGUGUUUGGCACCUCGAUGUCGGCUCAUCACAUCCUGGGGCUGAAGUAGGUCCCAAGGGUAUGGCUGUUCGCCAUUUAAAGUGGUACGCGAGCUGGGUUUAGAACGUCGUGAGACAGUUCGGUCCCUAUCUGCCGUGGGCGCUGGAGAACUGAGGGGGGCUGCUCCUAGUACGAGAGGACCGGAGUGGACGCAUCACUGGUGUUCGGGUUGUCAUGCCAAUGGCACUGCCCGGUAGCUAAAUGCGGAAGAGAUAAGUGCUGAAAGCAUCUAAGCACGAAACUUGCCCCGAGAUGAGUUCUCCCUGACUCCUUGAGAGUCCUGAA
rnacentral:rRNA from 1 species